rnacentral:sRNA from 1 species
CAACUACGAAAUGAAGGGAAGAUGGGUGGACAAUGGACAAAUAAUCUUAUUUUAGUUCUGAGAUAAAUAAAAUGUUUAUUUCAACAAAAUAGGAUUAGUCUGCCCAUUUUCAUUAUAAAUUCAAGUUAUCUGUAAUUAAAGAUAGCUUUUUUAGAGAUGUAAAAAGACUAAUCCUUCCGAAAAAAACGGGAGGAUUUUUUU